UACUUGCUUUUGGGACUAUUUAUUCUUGGAGUCAUGGGAGUGGUCAAGAUGACAGGACUGUUAUGCCUGUUCUUGCUCAUGCCACUUUUAGUUCCUGGUUCGGAAGCAAAGAUGUGCACUCGAGAUAGCCGGACCUAUACGUCUGUACCAUGCAAGCAUGAUCCUUGUGUUGAUGCAUGCCACAAGGAGGGCUCUAUCGAAGGGUUUUGUUACCUAUUCUUCGGAGCUUGUACAUGCCAAUGGGAGUGUUGAAUAAGAAACAUGUUGCAACUAUCAUAGGGUGUGUGUAACAAAUAAUAAUGUUGAGUAGUAUGAUGACUUGACAAUGGGCAAUGCAAGAGGUUGAGAAUCUA